GUGCUCCCUAGCUCUCCUGGCCCCUUGGCUGCCCGUUUUGAUCCAAAUAGUCAGGGGGAAUUAAUGCGUUUAUAUUUUUAACCCAUUCGAGGCCCCGCCAGCCGUGCGCAGCAGGCCCCCUCCUGGUCCCUUUUAACCCUUUGAAUGCCCAGCAGUUUGGAGAUACAAACUAAAGUCGUAAAACACAGGAGACCAGCUACAAGCUGAGGGGUUCGAGAUUCAGAGAAUCGGACAGGCUGGUCCCUGGCCGACCUGGAAAGGACGUUUACGCCUCGCUCACUUGCUCGGUUCCUCAGUUUCUCCGUCUGUGAAUGGGAUUCAAUGUCACAAAGUAGCCAAGAAAAGAUGGGGCGGAAUUUUCGUAAAGACAAAGUGCGUAAAAGUCUGAAAGGCUUCCUUCAGCGCCCAGAAGACCCGGAGGGGUUGUGAUGGGGCAGAGGACACCGCGGGAUGGCGUAACCAGGGCAACCAUUCCCAAAAUAACCCCUUCCUCUUGGCAUUGUCUGCGAGGCUUGAGGCUGAACUGCAAGGUCUCCUGCCAGGGGAGGCUGUGCUGCGCUGGCUCUAAACACGAGCCAUAACCCUCACUCAGAAGUUGCCUGGAGGGAUUCGAUCCCACCAAGGUGCCUAGGUGGGGCGCUGCCCACUGAGGGGCGCCCCAUCCCUCCCCCCCCCCCCAAAAGUCCAUCUGAGCUGGCAAGAGCUGGCACAGGCAGCCUCUGGUGGGUACUACCCUAGGGAUUCGUCCUCCCAAGGGAAUGAAGUUCCUUGUCGACCUCGCUGCUGGCGGGGAGCCUGGCCGGGAGAUGGGCGUCCAUGGUCAGAUCCCAGGACGUGCUGAUGGCUCUUGGAGUCUGGAUGUUGGGGGGGGGGGGGGUGUGAAGGGCAAAAAAACCAUGUACCACAUCAUCUUUUCCCCUUUGACAUCAAAAACGCAGCUUCUUCGGAGCCAAUGUCUGUUUCUAGCUGUGUGAUCUUGAGUAAGUGACUUUCCCUCUCUGAGCCUCAGUUUCCUCAUCUGCAAAGUGAGGCACACUAAAUAACCCACGUGUCCUGCCAGCUCUGCGUGAGGGGCCAUGAGAGUUGUAUUUAAAGGGGCCCAUCGCCGCGGGGCGCCUGGGUGGCUCAGUCGGUUAAGCGUCCGACUUCAGCUCAGGUCAUGAUCUCGCGGUCCGUGAGUUCGAGCCCUGCGUCAGGCUCUGGGCUGACAGCUCAGAGCCUGGAGCCUGCUUCCGAUUCUGUGUCUCCCUCUCUCUCUGGCCCUCUCCCGUUCAUGCUCUGUCUCUCUCUGUCUCAAAAAUAAAUAAACGUUAAAAAAAAAUAAAGGGGCCCAUCGCCAGGCUGGUCACAGUAACAGUAGCUAAUGCCAUAAUUAUAUGGCAUCCAAUACAACGAUAAAAGUUCCCAGAGUGUCCAUCUGGUCCACACCAGGCAGAGUGUGGGGUACAGGGAAGUAUCAAGAUUAGUCAAACCGGAUCCUUCAAGGACGUCUCCAUCUGGCCUCCACGGAGGCACUCACAGCUAACUCGAAAUAAUUCAGUAAUGAAUGCACGCCCAGCUUCCCUAAGCUUUAUGCUGGGGGCCAAGCGGCUAGGCAGGGGAAGGGCACUGAGGAAGGAACAUUCGCUGCCUUCAAGGAGCAAGGCACACCGAGGAAAUGAUGUCAGAGGGGGGACCUUGCGGAGGCUGGAAUUUUCAGCAGUGGUAAGAUGGCAUUUCAGGAAGGCCAACAGCUCGAGCAGAGAUCUAGAGGUGUUGAAGUGCCCAGGGUGUCUGACGUGUGGUCAGCUUUGCCUGGAGGAGAGAGCGGGUGGGCGGAGGAACUAGGGAUCCAGGGAUGAGGCCAGAAAGCCAAGCAGAUAAAGAGAGAGUGUGGUCACAGCCUCCAAAGAGCAAAAGAGCGGUCUUUUAAGAGAAUGAAUGAGCUGUUUGAGCCUGGAGAGUUGCAAUUUCCAAGAUUUCUGCAGCCUCAGGAGCUGGAUGGUUUCUGGGCUCACCAGGAACAGGCGCCUCUCCUGGGAGCGCUCUACCGCCCUCUGCUGGCAACCCGAAGUAACACCCCUACAGCCCGUGAGCCCUGUGGUGGGCUGGUGGGGUAGCCACGAAGAAAUUCUUCAUGCUAAACUCAGCAUUGCCAAGGUCGUAUGCACUGCCCCUCCAGCGAUGCCUGCACGCAAGGGGCAUGAACCUCAGCAGCAGUUGGAGAGCUGCCCACAAGGGUCUCUGAGCUUUCCUAUUUUCUGGAAUUCCGACCCGUUACGGUAGCUACCACCACCCCCUUCCUGCUGAGAACAGGUCUCACAGGGUCCAUGCACCUGACUGCUGACCCCAUCGUGCUUCCAGCCAAGAGAGGAAUGGUGACUUUCGGCAGGGCUCAUCACUGGAGCAAGAAGGGGACGUCCCCGGACACAGCUUAGAGUGUCGUGGAAUCCGAGAUUCAGGAAGGGAGGCCGCUUUACGGACAAAGAGCUCAUCCCUCCCCAUCCCUCUACCCUUUCCCUACCAGGAGCUCCUCGGCUUAUGGUUACAUGCCCACAGUGACGGGGAGCUCACUAUCUGAUGAAGCAGGCCCUGCUGUUUCUAGAAGGUUCCGACUCAAAGUGUUUCUUUCUCCCGUCCUUAAUCUGCCUCAUUCCGUCUCCUGUAUCUGCGUCUUGGAUCUGGUGAGGGCUUCCUCCUCCCCAGAAUGGCCUCCAAAGUGUUUGAGGAGAAGGAGCAGGUCCCCCGAGUGGUCCCCUCUCUAUGGAAGUUUGAUUAAUUAGGACUC